AUACUUACCAGGCAGGGGAGAUACCAUGUACAUGAAGGUGAUUUUCCCAGGGUGAGGCGUAUCCAUUGCACUCCUGAUGUGCUAACCCCUGUGAUUUCCCCAAAUGUGGGAAACUCAACUGCAUAAGUUAUGAUAACGAGGGACGGCAUUCGUGCUCUCCCCUG